CUCUGCAGCUCUUGCUCGAAUCUGAUCGGCGUGGAGGACGAGUCGUUGCUCUGAAAGCAGUCUGGAUCCGUCUUUCUGCCGCGGAGCUCCACUCAGGGAUAAUCAGCUCGAAAACAACUGGAGAGCAUCUGCUUUGGACCGCCAGGUUCUGCUCUGAAACCCAGCACCUCGCGCUUCAUCAUUAUCCUGGAUCUUAAGAGUAAAGAGCCCCAAACCGCAGCGAUAACUUGGGAGUUUGUUUAUACAGGAGGAGAGCAGAGGACAGACAGCACUCAGACAUGAGAGCGACAAGCCCGGACCAUUUUUCUGCCUAAAUGACCUUGGAAACCAAGUAGCUGGAAUUUAUAUUUUUUAGUUUUCUUUCUUUAUUUGCUGGAAUGGAAGAAAAGUGGAGAUAUCUUUCUCAUUCCAUUAAAACUGAAACUGACCAGAGUGGCCGUCACAGAACAAGCCCAACCAGAUGUGUCAGCGCCAUCACACCUGAACAGGGAUGAACAUCCUAACCAGUAGCUCCUCAAAACCCUCUAAAUCAAAGUCCUGUAGUGGAUAGUCACACCCAUGCUGACUCACGAGCGUGGAUGACAGCAGCUCCAAGGUGAUUGCAGCAGAAAAAGUCAGCACAGAUUCCUCUCAUCCCCCCAAAAUGUCCAAAUUAAAAAUCUAACAGUGCGCUAUCAUACACCAGUGAAUCAAUGCUACAUCCUCCAGAGCAUGGGGUGUGUCAAAUCCAAAAGGAGCCACUCUGCUUCCCAAACUGCAAACUCCACAGACAGGAAUGACGGCAAAGGCAAGAAGAUGAAGGGUGAGAAGGCCUACUUGGUCCAAUCAGAAACAGGCUCUGUGGAGAACUCCGCUCCGGCCAACCCGGUGCUUCUUGAGUACGCCCAGAGACUCUCUGAAGAGAUCGUGGCUCGGGCCGUGCAGCAGUGGGUGGAGAUAGACAGCCGCUACAGUGACAUCCCUUACAUUGAAUGUGAUGUGCCAUGACACCCAGAAUUUAUUAAGACCGCUUGGACAUUGAUACCUAAUGGUGUGUGUGUUAAGAACGCCCAACAGCUUCAUUCCGGAGGAAUCACUCAAGUGUCUAUCUGCUGUGAGUAAUUCAGUUUUGACCUACUUCUGGAUUGGAUUAUACUUGGAUUGAUUCUAAAACCCUGCUCCAAACUGUCUAAAGCACUCUGAUCCCGUCUGCGUCUCUCUUCAUCUGGAGCCUUGCUGGAGUGCAGCGUCUUCUGUUGGUUGUCAUCCUUUCCCUCGCUCAGCAGGUGCUGACUCUCUUUGACUUGACUUAUCCUGCAAGGCAAAGAAUCGGAUGUUGCCUUUUAGUUAGUGGGAGUCGAGCCCUGUCCACUCCUGGAGUUCCCAGGCCAAGAUUCUCUCACACACAGAGAGUUAUUAAUAAAUCCUAUUAUUUCCUGGAGACUUUUGCUGAAAACCCCUUAUUUGGAGUCAAAGCAUCUAUCUGUUUGCUUCUGUUUCACUUGAAGAAAAAGUGAUCUCUUAAUGGCCUCCCUGGAGAUCUGGUGGUAUUGCCACAGUGGAGCUCAACCUUCUCUCACUGCCAUUAGCUAGCUCCAGUCCCUCCCCUGUGUCCCAGGCAGCUAAUGCAAGAAAUGUGCCCAAAUGGUGCAUUUCCUGCUUUCUGCUCUGUUUGGGAACUUUGACAGAACUUGGCUAACAGGGGGCGUUUUGGUCUCCUAACCACAGAGUAACCAGGGCAUGAGAAAGGCCUGAGAUGUUUCUGAGAAGAGUGAUUCAUCAGUGAGAUAGUGGUGUUACAAACAAAGCAAAAUCAUUGGAAAAGCGGUUUUGUAAGCUUGUUUUCUUUUUUUGUGUCGGUUUAAAAUCUUGAUAAGAAAUACAGCCAUUUAUCCCUAGAAGCAGCACAAAACCGUUUAACUUGAAUCAAGUUUCUGCCAUAUCAAACGUAAGGGUAUUGUGGUGUAGGGCAUUUCCAAACUUAUUGCAUCAAAAUUCUGUCCAUUAUGGCCUUUUAAGACCAAUUUAUUCCCACUUUAUGAUGCAGCAGUGAGUGGUUUUCUAUAGGUGUGCUUGUUGGUGAUACACCAAGCCUAAAGUCAAGUCCAACUACUCCCCAUGUCGGAGUUUAGAUGAAGAUGACUAUUACACAGCUGUUUGCAGGGAUUAUGACAAUGAUAAUCUAUAAACUAAAACAGCCGUAACCAACAGCUGAUAAGCCAUAGAAGGUUGUUGUAAACAACACAAUACUCCAACAUAAAACUGCUCUGAAAAUAUAUAGUGCACUUUGCAUUUUAUUACAAGCUAAUGCAGAUGUUUCAGCAGUGUUGAUUUAAAGGAAAGGGCAGCAUCGUAAAGAAGCCACAAAGUUAAAGAGCAAUUGUCAGGGGGAACCACUCACAGAGCCUCCUGCUCGCUGGUCUGUGAGGACGUUCUCUGAAAUGAAAAUGUUCCAUCACCAGACGAGGUCGUCUUGACUCAGAGAAAAAGAACGAGGCCAGUCUCACUGUUGUGCUGGCAACUGUGUUCUGUGAGCGCUUGCAUCGGUACAGACAAGCUUCCUUUACAUUCCACUAGAAUGAUGUCAAAAUGCUGUCAGACAGCCUUUCUUCAGGGUUGCCGCUGAGCACAGGUUUACAGAGAAACAUUUCAAUUUGCAAUUUGUUUUACACCUUAUGCAGUAGAAAGUUUCUGCGAUGUUGAAAAGCAGCAAUGAGAUUGAGUAUUAAAGUCCCACUCCAAUCAUUUUAUGAUCUAUUGUAAAAGCAUUCCCAGUGGUCUUUUAGUUAUGAUUAUGCAAUUUUUAGGUAAAAUGUAACUGUCAUUUUCUAGGACAUAGUUUCUGCAGAGCGGCAGGAGAAAUUUGCGUCUGAGUUGUGGGCGGAACUGUUAGUGCGGUGUAAGCCUUCCCACACGUCCCAUCAUCCAUCUGUUUACACUCUCUUUACCGGUAGCUUACAGCUUUUCACAACCCUAACCUAACAUUAGCGGUGCAACAAAUAUGUCACUGCCACAGUCUUGAAUAAAGAAAUGCUCAGAAAUGCAAUUUUAUGCUUUAUUUUCUUUAUAUAGGUACUCUACCAUGAGAAAAAUACAACAAGAACAUGUUAAAAACACCAAAAACAUGAUUUUCCAUGGAGUGGGUCUUUAAUGUCAGUCUUUAUUCAAGUAUCUGCGUCUUCCACGUGACGCUUUCCUUUAAAAAUGUAAUUUUUAAGAUCGUAAUCUUUCAUUUAGAUCAGCUGUUUUUUAAAUGACAUUGUUCCAAUAAAGAUGAAAAAUCUGGGGCUCAAAACCCUCAUAGUGCUGCCCUAAAUGCAGCAUAAAUAUAUAUAUAUUUUAAUUGACCUGCCAUAAACGUUCUGAAGUCAGUGCUCAAAAAUGGCUGACAACAGUGAAAUGUGCCUCACUUUACUUAAAGUCAGAGAAGCGCCACAAAGUGAUGUUAAAGAAGCUGCAACCAAAUUCUGCUUUUCUUUUUCAUUGCUUCAGUGCAGCUGUUUCUCAACAGUAACAUCUUUAGCUCCAUAUUGGUGCAGCUGAUCUGGAAGUUCAGCUAAAAUGGAGCUUUAGCACAAAAUCAAAGUUGGCUUGAAAACCAGCUGAGCUCUUCCAGGAACGUGGUGUCUUUGCCAACUCAGUCCAAGGUCGGUUUGAUGUAACUUGUGCCAGAGAUCAAAGGGGUUUGACUCUUGUAGUUUAAUUUCUUUAAUACACUGUACUAGGACAGUAAUCCAGGAUCCACAGCAUCAACAGAGUGGCAGAGCUGAAGCAGACAACGUCCAUUGGUUCUAUAAAGAAAACCAAAGGCAGCUCAAUAAAUAAGGAUUACGUUGACGGACAUUCACAUAACAGGGAUCAUCCAUGUUAGUGGGAGAUCAUGCACAGUCAAAAGAUUGGUUGACCUUUGGUAUGACAGUUACUCAACUCACAGGUACAUGUGUAAACAAAACUGAUGCCAAUAAAUCAGAUUUAUGCCUUCAAUUGUGAAAUGAUUAUUGCUUCUUUUUUUGAAAAAUAAAAAUGCCUUUUUUUCUUUAAAAA